AGUGAACGCUGGCGGUAGGCCUAACACAUGCAAGUCGAACGGCAGCACAGUAAGAGCUUGCUCUUACGGGUGGCGAGUGGCGGACGGGUGAGGAAUACAUCGGAAUCUACUUUUUCGUGGGGGAUAACGUAGGGAAACUUACGCUAAUAUCGCAUACGACCUACGGGUGAAAGCAGGGGAUCUUCGGACCUUGCGCGAUUGAAUGAGCCGAUGUCGGAUUAGCUAGUUGGCGGGGUACAGGCCCACCAAGGCGACGAUCCGUAGCUGGUCUGAGAGGAUGAUCAGCCGCACUGGAGCGGAGACACGGUCCAGGCUCCUACGGGAGGGAGCAGUGGGGAAUAUUGGACAAUGGGCGCAAGCCUGAUCCAGCCAUACCGCGUGUGUGAAGAAGGCCUUCGGGUUGUAAAGCCCUUUUGUUGGGAAAGAAAAGCAGCAGGUUGAUACCCCGCUGUUCUGACGGUACCCAAAGAAUAAGCACCGGCUAACUUCGUG
rnacentral:rRNA from 1 species